rnacentral:ncRNA from 1 species
CUAUGGUUCGCCCGUCACGGUCAAUCCCGUGGCCGGGCGUAGGAACCCGAACA